rnacentral:rRNA from 1 species
CCAAUAGCGUAUAUUAAAGUUGUUGCAGUUAAAAAGCUCGUAGUUGAACUUCGAGAUUUAUUCAUUGGUCAGGCUUAAUUGUCUGUACUGGUGAUAUGAAUCUUUACCUUCUGAGGAACUUUCAUGCCAUUUAUUUGGUGUGAUUGGAAAUCAGGACUAUUACUUUGAAAAAAUUAGAGUGUUUAAAGCAGGCUAACGUCUGAAUACAUUAGCAUGGAAUAAUGAAAUAGGACGGAUUGGUUCUAUUUUGUUGGUUUCUAGGAUCACCGUAAUGAUUAAUAGGGAUAGUUGGGGGCAUUAGUAUUCAAUUGUCAGAGGUGAAAUUCUUGGAUUUAUUGAAGACUAACUACUGCGAAAGCAUUUGCCAAGGAUGUUUUCAUUAAUCAAGAACGAAAGUUAGGGGAUCGAAGACGAUCAGAUACCGUCGUAGUCUUAACCAUAAACUAUGCCGACUAGGGAUCGGACGAAGUUAAUUUUAUAAUGACGCGUUCGGCACCUUACG